GCUAGGCAUGCAGGCCCGUUCCAGUAGUCCCAGCUACUAGGAGGCUGUGGUGGGAGGACCAAUUGAGCCCAGGAGUCCUGGGCUGUAGUGCACUAUGCAGCUGGGGCAUCUGCACUAUAUUCAGCAUCAACAUGUUGACCUCCCAGGAGCAGGGGACCACCAGGUUGCCUAAGGAGGGGUGAAUCGGCGCAGGUCAGAAACAGAGCAGGUGAAAACUCCCACACUGAUCAGUAGUGGGAUUGCGUCUGUGAAUAGCUAAUGCACUCCAGCCUGGGCAAGAUAAUGAAAUUCUGUCUCCA
ensembl:misc_RNA Metazoa_SRP Metazoan signal recognition particle RNA